rnacentral:tRNA from 1 species
GGUUCGGUAGUUCAGUUGGUGGAACGUCUGCUUAACACGCAGAAGGUCGUCGGUUCAAGUCCGGGCCGGAUCA